UACGGAGGGAUCUAGCGUUAUUCGGAAUUACUGGGCGUAAAGCGAGCGUAGGCGGAUUUGUAAGUUGGAUGUGAAAUCCCAGAGCUUAACUCUGGAACUGCAUUCAAAACUACAUUUCUUGAGUUUGGUAGGGGAGAGUGGAAUUCCUAGUGUAGAGGUGAAAUUCGUAGAUAUUAGGAGGAACACCAGUGGCGAAGGCGACUCUCUGGACCAAUACUGACGCUGAGGUUCGAAAGCGUGGGUAGCGAACAGG
rnacentral:rRNA from 1 species